GUGAGUCAUCGAAUCUUUGAACGCACAUUGCGCCCUUUGGUAUUCCUUAGGGCAUGCCUGUUCGAGCGUCAUUUACACCUUCAAGCGCAGCUUGGUGUUGGGCGUCUGUCCCUCGGGACUCGCCUCAAAAGAAUUGGCAGCCACUUCAGCGGCUUUGAGCGCAGCAGAAUUGCGUCCUCUAGCGAGCAGAAGGCGGCAUCCACAAGCUUUCUUUCUAUUUUGACCUCGGAUCAGGUAGGGAUACCCGCUGAACUUAAGCAUAUCAAUAAGCGGAGGA
rnacentral:misc_RNA from 1 species